UGCCAGCAUCACACUCACGUCAACUUCGAGAAAAUUACCCUUCGUGCCACCGCCAACACUAACGCACUGCCCCCCGUUCCGCGCGUUUCUCCUCCAAACGAAAAAAAACAAAAAAAAGCUCGCCGCAGAUCCAAUCUCUCUUCCUCACCGAGGCGCCAUCGGCGGCGGCCCCCGCUCGCCCGCCGGCUCCUCCCCUGUGUGCGCCGCCGCCCCUCCUUCCUCUGCUCGCGCCCCCACCCUCCUCUUCAACGAGCCUCCGCCUCCGCUCUUAUCCUCACCGAGCCGCCGCAACCGGCGGCCUCCGCCCGCCGCCUCCUCCCCUGUGUACGCCGCAGCUCCUCUUCCCUCUCCUCGCGCCCCCGCCUCCUCCUCAUCGAGCCGCUGCAGCCGCCGGCCUCCGCCCCUGCCUCGAGGGAGGUCGACCUGUCAGCUUUUACCCUUCGCUGCCACCAAGGGCCACCUCGCCGCCGCCUCCCUUGCACACCGCCGCCACGCGCCGCUCCCGUCCACAGCCCCUGGAAACACCGCCACACGGUCUCCUAGGGUUUGCGCCUCCGCUGCCGCCCUGGCCCGUCUCGCGCUGGCCCUCCAUCCCGCCUCCCGCAGCCCCACGGCCGAGCCCCUCCCAACCCGCCGCUCGCCCCCAAGUGAAGGCCGCCGCCGCCACCGCGGUCCGAUCUUUCCCCGUCGUCAUCGCCCCUCCUCCACCCGUGUCUCCGGCCCUGCGCAUCGCCCAGAGGUUUCCCGCUCUCAACUGAGGAGUUCGCCGCUGACGGCCUCCACAAGUACCUGAUAGUCAUCCUGUCAACUUGUGCCUUUGGAGAUUUACAUACUGGAACCUAGCCCUGUGCUUGCUCCCUCAUAUCAGAUGAACUUUUUUCUAUCAAUUUUCAUCUUUUUACCUUGCAAUUGGAAAAGGGACCGGAAAAAAGGUUAUUCAUGAGGUCCUUAUCUCUGUGUAUGCUUUGGAACAAAAUAUCCUGUGGAAACCAAGUGGAGGAAUAUGGAAGUGGAGUGAUUGACAUCUUGAGGAUGGAAAAUUGGUAUCUUAAGUGUAGGAGAAAAUCUGUAUGUGUUUUGAAGAGAAAACAUCCAUUCAUGAUAGCUUGUCCAAUCUAGGCAUUUUAGGGGCAGCUCGAGUAGAUAUUUUAAUGAAGUAAGCUUGACUGCUUGAUCGUUAUUGUGUUACUUGAUGCUUGGUUCAGAAAAAAAAAUAGGAUUUCGAUUGGUGAGAUAAGGAGCUUCAGUUUGCAACUUCCAGGGAAAGGACGAUGUUGAGGUGCUGGCACAAAUUGCUUACUGCCAACGAUGAGAUCCGGACGGUGGCGGCGGGAUAAGGAGAUGGCAGCGGCAUCGGGAUCCAAGUGUUCUGCGGCACCACCAUCUCCUGGGCGUCUCCAUGGCGCGGCUGCUCACCGUGUCGGUGCUGCUCCGCCACCUUGACCUCAAUGCCGUCUGGCAUGGCGCACGCUGUCGGAAGCCCUCCGCACCCUUCAGUUUCUUUGAGAGAAUGAAUCUAGGCAUUUGGUCUUCCUUUAAUUUUUGUCAUGCUUGGAUUCUUGAAGCUCCUGAUGAAGCAGAGGUUUCUUGCCUUUGAAAAUUUUCAGGGGAGGAUGAAGCUAUUGUGGUUGUUUAUAUGCUAUUGCAGUUGAUGAAGUUAUAAUCCUCCACGAUCUUCAGAACUAAAAGGAAGUAUGUGAGAAAAGGAAGAGUCAUGGCAACACAUUGUCUUAAUUAUGUUUGUCUUCCCGUUGCAACGCUAUCCAUGCGUCUGAUACAGAUCACCGAGAUUAGAUUAUCACACGCUGCGUGUAUACGGCCA